rnacentral:rRNA from 6 species
AGAGUUUGAUCAUGGCUCAGAUUGAACGCUGGCGGCAGGCCUAACACAUGCAAGUCGAGCGGUAGCACAGAGAGCUUGCUCUCGGGUGACGAGCGGCGGACGGGUGAGUAAUGUCUGGGAAACUGCCUGAUGGAGGGGGAUAACUACUGGAAACGGUAGCUAAUACCGCAUAACGUCGCAAGACCAAAGUGGGGGACCUUCGGGCCUCAUGCCAUCAGAUGUGCCCAGAUGGGAUUAGCUAGUAGGUGGGGUAACGGCUCACCUAGGCGACGAUCCCUAGCUGGUCUGAGAGGAUGACCAGCCACACUGGAACUGAGACACGGUCCAGACUCCUACGGGAGGCAGCAGUGGGGAAUAUUGCACAAUGGGCGCAAGCCUGAUGCAGCCAUGCCGCGUGUGUGAAGAAGGCCUUCGGGUUGUAAAGCACUUUCAGCGGGGAGGAAGGCGAUAAGGUUAAUAACCUUGUCGAUUGACGUUACCCGCAGAAGAAGCACCGGCUAACUCCGUGCCAGCAGCCGCGGUAAUACGGAGGGUGCAAGCGUUAAUCGGAAUUACUGGGCGUAAAGCGCACGCAGGCGGUCUGUCAAGUCGGAUGUGAAAUCCCCGGGCUCAACCUGGGAACUGCAUUCGAAACUGGCAGGCUAGAGUCUUGUAGAGGGGGGUAGAAUUCCAGGUGUAGCGGUGAAAUGCGUAGAGAUCUGGAGGAAUACCGGUGGCGAAGGCGGCCCCCUGGACAAAGACUGACGCUCAGGUGCGAAAGCGUGGGGAGCAAACAGGAUUAGAUACCCUGGUAGUCCACGCCGUAAACGAUGUCGAUUUGGAGGUUGUGCCCUUGAGGCGUGGCUUCCGGAGCUAACGCGUUAAAUCGACCGCCUGGGGAGUACGGCCGCAAGGUUAAAACUCAAAUGAAUUGACGGGGGCCCGCACAAGCGGUGGAGCAUGUGGUUUAAUUCGAUGCAACGCGAAGAACCUUACCUGGUCUUGACAUCCACAGAACUUUCCAGAGAUGGAUUGGUGCCUUCGGGAACUGUGAGACAGGUGCUGCAUGGCUGUCGUCAGCUCGUGUUGUGAAAUGUUGGGUUAAGUCCCGCAACGAGCGCAACCCUUAUCCUUUGUUGCCAGCGGUUCGGCCGGGAACUCAAAGGAGACUGCCAGUGAUAAACUGGAGGAAGGUGGGGAUGACGUCAAGUCAUCAUGGCCCUUACGACCAGGGCUACACACGUGCUACAAUGGCAUAUACAAAGAGAAGCGACCUCGCGAGAGCAAGCGGACCUCAUAAAGUAUGUCGUAGUCCGGAUUGGAGUCUGCAACUCGACUCCAUGAAGUCGGAAUCGCUAGUAAUCGUAGAUCAGAAUGCUACGGUGAAUACGUUCCCGGGCCUUGUACACACCGCCCGUCACACCAUGGGAGUGGGUUGCAAAAGAAGUAGGUAGCUUAACCUUCGGGAGGGCGCUUACCACUUUGUGAUUCAUGACUGGGGUGAAGUCGUAACAAGGUAACCGUAGGGGAACCUGCGGUUGGAUCACCU